GCAUAGGCUAGGUGCCACCUCAGGAAAUGGUAGGUGAAGGACACCACCAUAGACAGGAGGAUUGUACAUGUGGUGGAGAUAAAGUAGAUGAAUUCAAUGUCUACUGAGCAGGACUGGAUACUAAGGUCCAACAGUUUCUUGCCUUUAAGGUUCACAGGAUAGUUGCACUCAAAGUUAUAGGCAUCAAAAACUUGUGUUUGGUUGUUGUUUACUACCCACUGGAGAAAGCAGGCAUUAUCACAGCCACAGGUGAAACUGUUCCCCUGAAGAUCCACAUAAACAAGAGCUGGUAGAGACUGUAUUAUUUCUUCACUGAUAACUGAAUAUUGAUUCUUUCUUGCCUGCAAGAACUGCAGUUUGGUAAGGUUGGCAUCUGUAAGAUAAUUUAGAGACCGAAG